rnacentral:rRNA from 1 species
CCAGACUCCUACGGGAGGCAGCAGUGGGGAAUAUUGCACAAUGGGGGAAACCCUGAUGCAGCGACGCCGCGUGAGUGAAGAAGUAUUUCGGUAUGUAAAGCUCUAUCAGCAGGGAAGAUAAUGACGGUACCUGACUAAGAAGCCCCGGCUGACUACGUGCCAGCAGCCGCGGUAAUACGUAGGGGGCAAGCGUUAUCCGGAUUUACUGGGUGUAAAGGGAGCGUAGGUGGCAGGGCAAGUCAGAUGUGAAAACCCGGGGCUCAACCCCGGGAGUGCAUUUGAAACUGUCCAGCUGGAGUGCAGGAGAGGUAAGCGGAAUUCCUAGUGUAGCGGUGAAAUGCAUAGAUAUAAGGAAGAACACCAGUGGCGAAGGCGGAUGACUGGACGGCAACUGACGGUGAGGCGCGAAGGCGUGGGGAGCAAACAGGAUUAGAUACCCCAGUAAAA